ensembl:lncRNA TMEM198B transmembrane protein 198B (pseudogene)
ACCCCUCCUCCCCCCACCGCGCGCACGCGCGCGCGCACACACACAAACACAAACACACACCCCAACACACACGCCCUGUCCCCUUUCUCCACCCUGCAAGCUAGUUGCAUUUAGCUCACAGAGCCUGGGCUGCGACUUGAAAGAGUUUAGGCAGCAACAGAGUGACCCUGGGGGUGCUCUUGACCGACAGCCGCACCCCCGGCGUCUAGGACCUCCGAGCAGGGAUGCAUCUGGAGGUCUAGGGAAGCACUUCCACCCCCUCCUCUCCUCAAUCCUGGCAGGAUGUGCCCGAAAUGCCAGCUCCUCCUUGGUGUUCUCCUUUCAGGAUUUGAAUUCAAAUCCCAUUGGCAGCCCUGAUACCGCUGGGGGAAGGGUGAGGCUACUGCUGCUUCAAGACAGUGACGUUUCUCUCCGGUCAGCUGUCAGGAGCGCUGCUGGGUCUUACUGGGGAUCUGGCCAGCCUUGGGGGCCCUUGGAGCCCUGGCCCAGUGGAAGCUCGUGCCUGAGGAACAUGGAGGCCACGCUAAUGAGUUACUUCCAGAGUCUUCAAGAGUGCCAACUGGGACCAGGACCCCAGACCACAGCCCCCCACACCGUCCUGGACCUGGAUUCUGACUGUGGUUCCACUGUACCCCUCACCUUAAUCUCUGGUUCUAACCAGACCUGAGCCUAGACUUCCACUUUUUCCCUUACCCCUGUGAGGGCCUGGGAACACUAGGGUCUGUUCCUGGUUUCCCAGAUGCAUAAAGGAAGACAUAUCCCUCCCCUGGGCAGCAAGGCUACAAUGGGAGGGAGGGAGAACAUGGGAGCAUGUGAAUAAAAUGGCAUUAAAUACUGAACCAGG